rnacentral:rRNA from 1 species
GAUGAACGCUGGCGGCGUGCCUAAUACAUGCAAGUCGAGCGAACAGACGAGGAGCUUGCUCCUCUUACGUUAGCGGCGGACGGGUGAUUAACACGUGUAUAACCUACCUAUAAGACUGGGAUAACUUCGGGAAACCGGAUCUAAUACCGGAUAAUAUAUUGAACCUCAUGGUUCAAUAGUGAAAGACGGUUUUGCUGUCACUUAUACAUGGAUCCUCGCCGCAUUAGCUAGUUGGUAAGGUAACGGCUUACCAAGGCAACGAUGCGUAGCCGACCUGAGAGGGUGAUCAGCCACACUGGAACUGAGACACGGUCCAGACUCCUACGGGAGGCAGCAGUAGGGAAUCUUCCGCAAUGGGCGAAAGCCUGACGGAGCAACGCCGCGUGAGUGAUGAAGGUCUUCGGAUCGUAAAACUCUGUUAUUAGGGAAGAACAAAUGUGAAAGUAAAUAUGCACGUCUUGACGGUACCAACUCAGAAAGCCACGGCUAACUACGUG